ensembl:snRNA LOC120100345 U2 spliceosomal RNA
AUCGCUUCUCGGCCUUUUGGCUAAGAUCAAGUGUAGUAUCUGAAAACCUGGCAACACAUUGUGCUGCAAAACUGUGAUCACAUUAAGCACGUGCCUAUGUAAUCUUUUUUUUUUCUUUUUUUUUAUUUAUUUUUU